rnacentral:rRNA from 1 species
UGAACUCANAUCACGUAAGGAAUUAAAAGUCGCACAGACUUAAAAAUCAAGCUACUACACCCAAUAUUAUAUCUUAAUCCAACAUCGAGGUCACAAUCUUUUUUAUCAAUAUGAACUUUCCAAAAAAAUUAUGCUGUUAUCCCUAAAGUAACUUAAUUUAUUAAUCAAUAAUAAAAGAUCAAAUAAUCAUAAAUUAAUGUUUUAAAAAUUAAAAGUUUUUUAAAUUUUAAUAUCUCCCCAAUAAAAUAUAAAUCAACAUUUAAAUAUAAAUAAUCUAUAUUAUAAAAACAUAAAUUUAUAUAAAGAUUUAUAGGGUCUUCUCGUCUAUUAAAUAAAUUUUAGCUUUUUUACUAAAAAAUAAAUUUCUACAAUAAUUUUAAUUGAAACAGUUAAUAUCUCGUCAAACCAUUCAUCCCAGCCUUCAAUUAAAAGACUAAUUAUUAUGCUACCUUUGCACAGUUAAAAUACUGCGGCCAUUCAAUACCUCAUUGGGCAGGUUAGACUUUAAAUUUUAUUCUUAAAGACAUGUUUUU